GGUUGGAUGUGUAUAGCCCGCCAUGGUUUCAUGUGUGAGUGCUGCUACUCAUCUACCAUCCAUCGUGUCGUUGUAGCGCUCUCUUCACUGAGGGUGCUAUACGUACACGAUCGUUUACUUUGAAAAAAUUAGAGUGUUUCAAGCAGGCGUCAAGCUUUGAAUACAUUAGCAUGGAAUAAUAAUAUAGGACUUCGGUUCUCUAUUGUUGGUGUGUGUCGAGUUGACUGAAGUA
rnacentral:rRNA from 1 species